rnacentral:snRNA from 1 species
AGCUUUGCGCAGUGGCGAUAUCGUAGCCUAUGAGGUCUAUCCGAGGCGUGAUUAUUGCUAGUUGAAAACUUUACCCAAUACCCCGCCUUGACGACUUGAAAUAUAGUCGUCGAUGGCAAUUUUUGGUGGUCUCUGCGGAGA